rnacentral:lncRNA from 1 species
AAGAGAAACACCGCUUCACUACUAAAGUGUUGUACGCUGAUGCUUCUCAGACUCUACGCGCCGCCGCGGGCUUUGAAUUCACCCACGCAUGCGAAGUAAAUUUAUUUGAUGAACUAUCUUAUUGUGUGAAGAUAAGACACCGACAAACAGUAAAGAUAAAUUUCCUUUUGUUUUAUUGAAACUGCAAAUUACAUAUGAUAAUUCAGUCGCUGAUGAAGAUUGGCUGAAAACCCCGAAUUGGAAGGGAUAAACAAAAACUCAUGAGUGGUGGGGAAUCAGCCGGGAGCGUUGAACAAAGGUCGUUUGCGUGAUGAGAAGAGCCGGCGAGUUAGACGGUACCAGAUACUCACCAGAUCAACAUCAACAAGUAUUAGUCGUACAUCAAAUACCGUAAUCCAGAUCACAUCUUGUGGAAGUUUAAUAAUACAAACUAUUACAGGCAGAGUGGCGGCGUUAUUUGUGAUAUCAUGGCAGCGGCUACCAGCGUUGUCGUUCUCGAUCGAGGCAACAAUACCACCUGCACGAUUAAUUUACACGGAGCCACAGUAGUUUCUUGGAGGGUUAACAAUCAAGAACAGCUGUUUGUUAGACCUUAAAAGACGGACUAAAACCAGCGAUUUAUCUUGAACGGGAAAAAAUAAAUGGAAAGGAAUGAAAAAGUAUUAUGUAUAAGGGGAAUGGCAUGUAAAAGCAGAAGAAGACGAAUAAGAGGAUGAUGAAAGUGGUGAAAGAGUUUCUGUAGCUUCUGAAGAAAGGUCUUAUGUGCUGACGAUUGAUUGGAUAAUUCAAAAGUUUAAUCGUGAAUUUAUAAGGAUAAAUGAAAGGAAUAAUGAAAGUUUUAACACUUGAGAAAAAUUUUUCAUUGGAUUGGAAGAAGCAACUCAAUUCAAGUGAUGAACGGGAAUUAACGUGACUCAGUAUGUAGCAUUCGAUAAAAUGGGUAGAACAGAAUUGGAGAAGAGGACGAAGAAGAAGAAGAAGUUGAUGAAUUUGGUGGUUUGGUUCACUAGUGAGCAGGCCAUCAGAGAGUUAGAAGAGGAUGUUGGAUGUGUGUACAUGUAUCUACGAAUACAUUCUGAAAUCCGUGAAGGGAGGAGGGAGGGACAAGGGGGUGGCACUGAAGUAGAGAGCAAAGAAACAAGAAAGCAAGAGAAACAGAGUGAGUGAGAUCGAGCACUAAUGAUGCAGCAGCAGCAGCGCCUGGCGUCGUCGUCGUCGUCGUCCCUGGUUUUUGUCGUCGUUAUUCUCUUUCUCACUUACUCUCCCUCUGUAUCUGGUUGUUCUUCUCGUCACUUCAGCUUACUUGUCGGACCGUAGAAUUUGCACAGACGAUUUUCCAGAUGAAUUUCCAACUUUAAAUUGUUACGACAGCCACGACACAACAAAAUUAACAAAUCAACUUAAUUUUUUGCUAACUUUACUUGAAAUCAUUAAUGGUGUUCUAGCUUUUGCCACUUUAAUUCAUUGGUACUUGGCGUAAAUAUGAACAUUCAAUUGAACUGGAUUGUUUUAUAAUUCAUUAUUUGUAAUUCCAAUUAUAAUUUUGUUUUAUGGAAUUAGUUUGAAGGAAUGGAAUAUAUAUUAUCCUUGGAGAGGUGCGUUGGCCGGGUACGAGAGAGAAGAAAUAUAUAUAUAUAUAUAUAUAUAUAUAUGUGUAUAAAAAAAAAGGGGGAACUUCUGGUGAGUUCUGCAGUUGAAAGGGAAUGUUGUAGAAUGCCGGCAAAAAGCGUUCAGCCACUGAGAUCAUUAGUCUACGGUCUUGAGCUUAUAACCAACAACGUUCUACUAUACGAUGUGGUGGUAUACCGGGUGAUGAGACACCAUCCAAUGUUGGUGAUGUCUCUUGUAUUGGUAUCCCGGCUUUUAGAAGCUCAAAUGCUGCAUCAAUCGUUCCAACAUUAUUUUUACCGUAUCGAUAAAUUGGAAAUCUCAGAAGAUUUUUAAAAUUGAGAAACACGUGGAAUACAUGUGGACCCAUUAACUACCAGCUUGUACCACAUGUUUCAUUUAUUAUGGGGCUAUAAAUAUAUCCCCAUAAUACGUAGAUAUAUUUAUAGUUAAAAGAGUGGUUUGUAAGUUGAUAUUAACAUCAAUUUAAGUAUUUAGAUCUUAAAAUUGAAGCUUAUCAUUAUCAGCAAAGAUAAUGUGAUGAUUCAUGGUUUGAGCAAAAAGUGCUCGGGUGUUAUCGCGCUCAUUUGGUCAAUCUCUCACGAUCAAGCUUGAGUGUGUAUCUUGAGAUGUUGUCGUACGAUGGUAUGGCUAAGAGUACAGCCUAGCGGAUGGAUGAUGUUCUCUUUGUGUGUUGAGAGGAAAAUAAAUGCGUUGACCCCGUAUGGUAUAGUACUAUGUGAGAAAUGCCAGCGAGUAGUAAUAUAUUUAAAAAAAAGAAAGAAGAUAUUCUGUUGAAUGAUAUGAAAGGAAAAGAAAAAGAAAGAGAAAGCGAAAGCAAAACCGAAAGAUAAAGAAGGAUGAUGAAGAUUGGAUGAGGAAUUGUCCAGAUGAAGGCAGUAGUAUUAUGUUAGACAGUCAGAGAAAUACUUGGUUGUACUUGACUGCGAUAACAGCUAAUGAGGUGAUUACAAGUGCCUGAUGCUGUUACUGCAACCUCUGGCUUAGUUGUGGUACUCUCUUUAGCGCACCAAAGUCGCUAAAGUGGAUUUAUAAGAGUGGGCUGAGAAUCUGUCGGAUUCCUUAGCAGUGAUGUGAUGCUUUUGAUUCAAGUCUUUUACGGAUUUUCAUAGAUCCAUUAAAUUAUAUUAUCAGUACAAUUGCCACUUAUCAUGUAAUUUAUAAAUUAAGUGUAAUCCGUUCUGGCAAAUGAAGAGUAUAAGAGUGGACGAGCUGGAAGAGUCAGUCUGUCGACGAGCUACAAAAGAUAUAUAAAUAGAGGGUACACGUCGAGGCAUUGUUUCUUGCUAACUUUGGUUAAACAAAGUUUCGCGGCGACUUCGGCGGCAGGGUGAAAAGCAAAGGGAAUCAGCGUGAGGGCGUAUCGUCCGCGGGGACAAGAGAUGAUGAAGGGAAAAAGGGAUGAUAGUAUAUGUAUACAUCUACGUAUAAAUUUAUAUGUAUUGGAGUAUGAGCAAGAAGAGGGAGAAAAUUCAAGCCCGGUAAAGCAGCAGCCAGCCCGGCUAAUCGCAAAAACCGCUGGCUUUGCUCUACACUCGCGCUUCAAACAGGCUACUCGCAAGUA